GAUGAACGCUGACAGAAUGCUUAACACAUGCAAGUCAACUUGAAUUUGGGUUUUUAACUUAGGUUUGGGUGGCGGACGGGUGAGUAACGCGUAAAGAACUUGCCUCACAGCUAGGGACAACAUUUGGAAACGAAUGCUAAUACCUAAUAUUAUGAUAAUAGGGCAUCCUAUAAUUAUGAAAGCUAUAAGCGCUGUGAGAGGGCUUUGCGUCCCAUUAGCUAGUUGGAGAGGUAACGGCUCACCAAGGCGAUGAUGGGUAGCCGGCCUGAGAGGGUGAUCGGCCACAAGGGGACUGAGACACGGCCCUUACUCCUACGGGAGGCAGCAGUGGGGAAUAUUGGACAAUGGACCGAGAGUCUGAUCCAGCAAUUCUGUGUGCACGAUGAAGUUUUUCGGAAUGUAAAGUGCUUUCAGUUGGGAAGAAACAAAUGACGGUACCAACAGAAGAAGUGACGGCUAAAUACGU
rnacentral:rRNA from 1 species